AAAAAAAGCUGAACAACCCAGAACAUGUGAUGCCUUUAUUUUGCAUGUGGACUCAUAUCAAAUAUAGCGGGUGCAGCGCAGAGCAUCUGAAGAUAUUGAACGCAUCCCGCUCACUGCGGCAUACAGAAAUUUGUUGGCAAUCGACGGCGGUCAUCUCUUGUCCGAUGGCUCAAUCCUGACCACUUCUCCUGUCAUCAAGUCAUCACAGCUUCGCAGGCACGACCAUGAGCAGAGCAUCAACAACCAUGCCAUAAAUAUCUGAUCAUCGAGAAGCACAACCUAAAACAUUGAAUGAAUAGAGCAUUACAGCCCAAGAGGUAGAAUAACACGUACAUUCACAAUGUUGUUCUAAGCAUAGUCGAAAUGCCAUGCAAACUAAGUACAACAUGUUAAACGCUCGAUAAAGAAAUCCCUAGUAAAAAGUAUAUCAUUCAAUAUACGUACACAUGUAUAACGGUAGAGGCACUUGAUCCUUGGCAAGUAGUACAGGGGAACAUCAGGAGAAGAAGGAAAAGUUGGAAAACAUGACCGGCCUGUAUUAGCAAUUCAUGUGAGCUUGUAAAUGAAUUAGUGAGUUCAAUGUGGCCCAUCCUUCCAGAUAUAGAAAAUAUAUGUUGAUAUUUUAAAUAACCAAUAAAUUUAUCUGCAUCAUGCAGCAUAAAAUUGAAGCCCAUUAAGAUUAUGAAUAACGCAUAGAUGGAAAGCCUACAAUGGAUUUAACACACAAACAUCUCAAAACUGCUACUGUCCUCCCCAGCAUAUUAUUCAAUAACAAAUGUAGCAAAGGUUACCUUUGACUGCAAAAAUGUUUGCUUUUACUGGAAAUUGUUGAGUUCCUCCACCACAUAUGUACACAUGCAGCUGUCCGAAGUGAAAUUCUGUUUUCUGUAGCAUUCAAAGUUUCACAAAAGAUAUUUAAUGAUGUCAGUUUUUUUCUUGAAGAGACCAUGGGGAAUAAGGUUGAGCGGGGAGGACGUACAUGAUACAUCAUCCAACGGCUGCAAAAAAUGAAUACCAC
rnacentral:lncRNA from 1 species